GAUGAAGAACGUAGCGAAAUGCGAUAAGUAAUGUGAAUUGCAGAAUUCAGUGAAUCAUCGAAUCUUUGAACGCACAUUGCGCCCGGCAGCAAUCUGCCGGGCAUGCCUGUCCGAGCGUCAUUUCUUCCCUCGAGCGCGGCUAGCCCUACGGGGCCUGCCGUCGCCCGGUGUUGGGGCUCUACGGGUGGGGCUCGUCCCCCCCCGCAGUCCCCGAAAUGUAGUGGCGGUCCAGCCGCGGCGCCCCCUGCGUAGUAGAUCCUACAUCUCGCAUCGGGUCCCGGCGAAGGCCAGCCGUCGAACCUUUUAUUUCAUGGUUUGACCUCGGAUCAGGUAGGGUUACCCGCUGAACUUAAGCAUAUCAAUAAGCGGAGA
rnacentral:misc_RNA from 1 species